AGUUUCUCCAACUGCUCUCCUUAUUUCCUUCCACACUCUCAAUCUCUCUACUCUUUCAACUUAUUCAAUGCCACUAAAAUUUGGUUCUUGUAAAUAUUUCUUCAAUUUUAAGGAUGUGGUUAAACUAAAGAUUUUGGAAGCUAGGAAGGAAUCAAUAUUCACGAUCGCGAUUUCUUUGUAUAAUUUAAGGUUGUGGCUGGGGAUCUCUCUGGUGCCUCCAGCAUUGAGGCAUCACUUCCCGCCAACAAUGAGAUAGAAAUUGUCUCUACUACUCCAGCUUCCUUUGAGGUUGGAGAGCAACCCAAUAUCACUGCUCCUGAGCCACCAUCAGUAGAGUCUGAUCGUAGAGGCGAUUAAGUGCUUGUGUGGUUGGUAUGUGGGAUUGCGAUAGCUUAUGGGGUUACGCAUAUUAUUAAUAAUAUCAGCACCCUCAAAGAAGACAAGAGUAUCGUGCCAUGGCUUGGUAUGUUGUGGGGUCUGGGACUUUGUUUUAGCAGUCUCUUAUUCUUUUGGGUAGUUACCCUUGAUUGGAGCAAAUAUAAUGUUGAUGAAUAAAUUAGUCAGCUUUUGUCCUAGUUUUAUGACAUUUAUUCACAGGUGUAGCACAUGCAAAGGCUCUCCUUGAUUGUAGGAAUAUUUAUCUUGUUUACGUUAAUGUAAUUCUUAUAUAAAAGCUAUUCAACA